rnacentral:pre_miRNA from 1 species
UUAAAAUUAAAUGGCGAUUGUCGGUAUAGUCGCUUUUACAAACAUUUCCUUUCAAGCGAAGUGACUAGACCGAACACUCGUGCUAUAAUUUUAAAAU